AUCGCUUCUCGGCCUUUUGGCUAAGAUCAAGUGUAGUAUCUGUUCUUAUCAGUUUAAUAUCUGAUACGUCCUCUAUCCGAGGAAAGAAAUUAAAAAAAAAAAAAAAAAACUCAGCUUAACUCAUCCCUGAUCUCUUCUUUAACCCAA
rnacentral:snRNA from 1 species